rnacentral:rRNA from 1 species
GAUCAUGGCUCAGGACGAACGCUGGCGGCGUGCCUAACACAUGCAAGUCGAGCGAGGAGAUCCUUCGGGAUGAUCCUAGCGGCGGACGGGUGAGUAACACGUGGGCAACCUGCCUCAUAGAGAGGAAUAGCCUUCCGAAAGGGAGAUUAAUACCUCAUAACAUUGCAGUUUCGCAUGGAACAGCAAUUAAAGGAGCAAUCCGCUAUGAGAUGGGCCCGCGGCGCAUUAGCUAGUUGGUGAGGUAACGGCUCACCAAGGCGACGAUGCGUAGCCGACCUGAGAGGGUGAUCGGCCACAUUGGGACUGAGACACGGCCCAGACUCCUACGGGAGGCAACAGGUGGGGAAUAUUGCACAAUGGGGGAAACCCUGAUGCAAGCAACGCCGCGUGAGUGAUGACGGCCUUCGGGUUGUAAAGCUCUGUCUUCAGGGACGAUAAUGACGGUACCUGAGGAGGAAGCCACGGCUAACUACGUGCCAGCAGCGGC